AACGAACGCUGGCGGCAUGCCUAACACAUGCAAGUCGAACGAGACCUUCGGGUCUAGUUGCGCACGGGUGCGUAACGCGUGGGAACCUGCCCUUAGGUUCGGAAUAACUCCCCGAAAGGGGUGCUAAUACCGGAUAAUGUCUUCGGACCAAAGAUUUAUCGCCUUUGGAUGGGCCCGCGUUGGCUUAGCUAGUUGGUAGGGUAAAAGCCUACCAAGGCGACGAUCCAUAGCUGGUCUGAGAGGAUGAUCAGCCACACUGGGACUGAGACACGGCCGAGACUCCUACGGGAGGAAGCAGUGGGGAAUAUUGGACAAUGGGCGAAAGCCUGAUGCAGCAAGGCCGCGUGAGUGAUGAAGGCCUGAGGGUUGUAAAGCUCUUUUACCCGGGAUGAUAAUGACAGUACCGGGAGAAUAAGCUCCGGCUAACUCCGUG
rnacentral:rRNA from 1 species